rnacentral:rRNA from 1 species
CGUGUAGUUAAGCACAAUUUGUGGGUAACCAUGUAAACUCGCUAAGUGUUGUGAUAAAUUAGUCGUUGGCGUUUAUAUCUGUUUGACGGGACUUAUUUUCUAUUUAGUGCAGCAGUGAGGAGAUUGCUGCACAAGCUAUAUUUUUACUAUUUUUUCGUGUUACUUGGGUUAAGAUUACCUCGGUGUUGUUGUGUGUGUUAUUACUCGCUUCUAUCUUUGUGCGUGAAUUAGGUGUGGUACCCGUUUUGUUUAAUAGAAUGCGUCUAUUUAUGAAUUAAUAAGUAAUUAUAUCGUGUGUGGUUUAUCUCAGGUUCGGCCCAACUGUUUAUUAAAAACAUUUCUGCUUUAUUAACGAUAAGCAGUAUGACCUGCCCGGUGUUUUAUUAACGGCCGCAGUAUUAUGACUGUGCGAAGGUAGCAUAAUUAAUUGCCCCAUAAUUGGGGGCUUGUUUGAAGGGUCGAAUGCGGCCGAAGCUAAAAUUACACCCAUCUGUGAAAUUAAUUCUGCGAGUACAGAAUCUGCAGUUAUUAGUUAGACGGAAAGACCCCAGGAUCUUUAAAUUUGUCUGGGGCAGAUUAAGCUGAUUUAGUUUAUUUAUGACCCUCUGGUUAAAGAGUUAAGUUACCCUGGGGAUAACAGAGUAAUAGUUUAUUAGAGCUCAAAUCGAUUAAACUGCUUGCUACCUCGAUGUUGACUUGGGUGCACCACCAGGCGCAGCCGUUUGGUGGUUAGGUCUGU